CAGCCGCCGCGGUAAUACCGGCGGCCCGAGUGGCGGUCACUAUUAUUGGGCUUAAAGCGUCCGUAGCCGGGUUGGGAAGUCCUCCGGGAAAUCUGGCCGCUUAACGGUCAGAAUGCCGGAGGAUACUCCCAGCCUAGGGAGCGGGAGAGGCCGAGGGGAUUCCCGGAGUAGGGGGGAAAUCCUAUAAUCCCGGGAGGACCACCUGUGGCGAAGGCGCUCGGCUGGAACGCGUCCGACGGUGAGGGACGAAGGCCAGGGGAGCAAACCGGAUUAGAUACCCGGGUAGUCCUGGCUGUAAACGAUGCGGACUUUGUGUCGGACAAGCUAUGAGCUUGUCCGGUGCCGGAGGGAAACCGUUAAGUCCGCCGCCUGGGGAGUACGGCCGCAAGGCUGAAACUUAAAGGAAUGGCGGG
rnacentral:rRNA from 1 species